AUGUCUGCUUUGAAUUUGGUGUACUUGCUUCUAAAAUUGGUAUUGAUUCUACCGGUGGCAACAGCAAAUGUUGAGAGAGCAUUUUCUGCCAUGAGUAUAGUCAAGAACAAGUUGAGAAAUAAGAUGUGUGAUAAUCUUUUGGAUGAUUGCCUAGUCACAUACAUUGAGAGGGAUGCUUUUGCUGAGGUGAAUGAAGAUGAUAUAAUAGAUACUUUCAUGGCAAUGCAAAAGCGUAGGCUAGAAACAUAG
rnacentral:rRNA from 1 species